AUUCAAAACGGCAAAAUUGGAAAUGGCUCGGUAAAAUAAUGCAAGAUACACCCACUUCUCAUUUCGUAGUUUUUUUUUUUUUUUUUUUUUUUUUUUU
rnacentral:ribozyme from 1 species